UACAGAGGGUGCGAGCGUUAAUCGGAAUUACUGGGCGUAAAGCGUGCGUAGACGGCUAUCUAAGUCGGGUGUGAAAGCCCCGGGCUCAACCUGGGAAUUGCAUUCGAGACUGAAUAGCUAGGGUACGGUAGAGGGAAGCGGAAUUUCCGGUGUAGCGGUGAAAUGCGUAGAUAUCAGGAAGAACACCAGCGGCGAAGGCGGCACUCUGGGCCGGAACUGACGCUGAGGAGCGAAAGCGUGGGUAGCAAACAGG
rnacentral:rRNA from 1 species